rnacentral:rRNA from 1 species
GAUGAACGCUGGCGGCGUGCCUAAUACAUGCAAGUCGAGCGAACAGACGAGGAGCUUGCUCCUCUGACGUUAGCGGCGGACGGGUGAGUAACACGUGGACAACCUACCUAUAAGACUGGGAUAACUUCGGGAAACCGGAGCUAAUACCGGAUAAUAUAUUGAACCGCAUGGUUCAAUAGUGAAAGACGGUUUUGCUGUCACUUAUAGAUGGAUCCGCGCCGCAUUAGCUAGUUGGUAAGGUAACGGCUUACCAAGGCAACGAUGCGUAGCCGACCUGAGAGGGGGGGGGGCCAACCGGGGAAGGAGGACAGGGACAAACCCCAUGGGGAGGGAGCAGGAGGGAAAUGUUGGGGAAGGGAGAAAGGCAGGAGGAGGAAGGGCGGGGGGAGGAAGGAGGUUGUCGGAUGGAAAAAAUUUUUUUAUAGGGAAAAAAAAAGGUGGAAAGAAAGAGGGCGGGGCUUGAGGGAACAUAAAAAAAAAGCGCGGGCAAACUACGUG